CAUAGUGAUCCGGUGGUUCUGAAUGGAAGGGCCAUCGCUCAACGGAUAAAAGGUACUCCGGGGAUAACAGGCUGAUACCGCCCAAGAGUUCAUAUCGACGGCGGUGUUUGGCACCUCGAUGUCGGCUCAUCACAUCCUGGGGCUGAAGUAGGUCCCAAGGGUACGGCUGUUCGCCGUUUAAAGUGGUACGCGAGCUGGGUUUAGAACGUCGUGAGACAGUUCGGUCCCUAUCUGCCAUGGGCGUAGGAAAAUUGAGAGGGUUUGCUUCUAGUACGAGAGGACCGAAGUGAACGCACCGCUGGUGUUCGGGUUGUGAUGCCAAUUGCAUUGCCCGGUAGCUACGUGCGGAAUAGAUAAGUGCUGAAAGCAUCUAAGCACGAAACUAGCCUCGAGAUGAGUUUUCCCUGAAGAGAUUCAGUAAGGUCCGUUUGAGACUAAGACGUAGAUAGGUCAGGUGUGUAAGUGUAGUGAUACAUUGAGCUAACUGAUACUAAUGAACCGAGAGUCUUAACCUUACAACUC
rnacentral:rRNA from 1 species